rnacentral:rRNA from 1 species
UGGGGUAUAUUGGACAAUGGGCGAAAGCCUGAUCCAGCCAUGCCGCGUGAGUGAUGAAGGCCUUAGGGUUGUAAAACUCUUUCGCUGGGGAAGAUAAUGACGGUACCCAGUAAAGAAGCCCCGGCUAAUUUCGUGCCAGCAGCCGCGGUAAUACGAAAGGGGCUAGCGUUGUUCGGAAUUACUGGGCGUAAAGCGCGCGUAGGCGGCAUGCCAAGUUGGGGGUGAAAUCCCUGGGCUCAACCCAGGAACUGCCUCCAAAACUGGCAAGCUAGAAUACUGGAGGGGUGAGUGGAAUUCCGAGUGUAGAGGUGAAAUUCGUAGAUAUUCGUAAGAACACCAGUGGCGAAGGCGACUCACUGGACAGUUAUUUACGCUGAGGUGCGAAAGCGUGGGGAGCAAACAGGAUUAGAUACCCCCGUAGUCC